rnacentral:lncRNA from 1 species
GCUGCUGCCUGCAAUCUGUGAAAGCCGCCUCACCUUCCCUGUCAGCCAGGAUGGCAAGGGAUGACGGUGAGGCUUCUGCUGAAUUCAGUCACCAGGGCUAGGAACCAACUGCUGAACCUGAAUAAUGACAAAUAUAGGGACAUGGAGCCUCAGACUAGCUUCUUCAAGAAGCUGCUGGGCCACCAGCAGCCCCACAUGGAGAUAAAGAUCCACUGGGGUUUAUUGGCUGAAAAUAUAAUUGAAGCAACCUCUAAAAAUGUGGCUUUUCAGGACCUUAGUAAUGACAAAGAGAAAGGAAAGACAGAGUUUAAUCUUCAUGAUUGAUAUCCUUCUGCAAGCGAUAGGCCUCCUGUUAGAUAUGCCUAAUGUAAUAUUUUGAAAGACAUAGCCAACCAAUACCAGAUGAUGAAAAGUUCUCAAAUACAUUUUGUGCCAUGCUGGGGUUGUUAUGGGGUUACUCAUUGAAAAAAAAAAAAAGUAUUAUCAGAACUUUAUGAAAAAGCUCAGAAUCUUUCAGCUGUGGAAGUUAGGGAGAAAAGUCAGUUCAUUUGCUAAAGCAGCCAUUGAGAAGCAGAAAUCAACCUUUAUUCAUUGAAGAACAAUAGAGGAAUAGAAUAAUUGCUGCUAUACUAUGAUGGAAAAUGUGAAGCCAAAUAUUGAUAAUUUCCCAUCAAAUAUUAUAAUGACUUGGCUUAUUGAUCAUACAAACCUGUGUUUUGAUCUCCUCAUCAAGGACUGCAUUGGCUAAAGCAGGAUUUGAAUAAAACAUCAGUCAUUCUAUAUAUGUAAAUUUAUCUCUUUCGAAGCUUUCUUCUGAGUUGAUACCUCUUUAAGAUGAUGAUUCUUCUAUUAGUUUUUUAGUCUGGACCACACAGCCCCGGACAAUUCCAUUUAUCAUGCUGUUUACUGUAUUCCAGGAUCAAAGUAUGCUGUUGUGAAGUAUUUCAAUUUUGGAGACAUCUACAUACAGUACUUGCUGCAGAUAAAGUAAAAUCUGUCACCUCUAAUUUGGAAACAUUUGAAGUUAUUUCAACAUUUUCAGGUGUAUUUUUGAAAAAUGGUACUUGUACUCAUCCUAUAAUUCCUGAUAAAAUCUCCCCUCUUUUACCUGCAAAUUGUAUAACCAUGACAAAAGGGAAAGAAUUGAUUUACACAGUCCCAGUUCAUGUUGUGGAAGAUAACAGUGUGACUUCUCAAACAACCUGUCAAUUGAUUGUUUAGUGGAUGAAGACAGAAUUUUCACGAAUGUUUCAGGUUAUGAACUUUAAGACCAAACUUGAAGCGGGAACUGUUGUGGUUAUAAAGAUGCUUUCAGCUGCAGAGAAUUUGUUGAAGCAGACUGCAGAGAAUUUGUUGAAGCAGAAAAAAUCGGUACAUAACUAUCCCUAUGAUGGGAGGGCUAAGAAAACAGAUUAUUUGUGCCAGCCAGUAGUGGCUUAUAAACACAAUGGAUACUAAAACCACAGCCAAAAAAUUGUCUAAAAAGGUAAAAUUUACUUCUAUAUCAGCACUGAAUGUCAAGGUCAAAAUUAUGGACAGAUAAAUAUAUUGGUGCACAAAAAUGCAAGGAGUUUGGAGUGCUUCAAUUCUUUUAUUUCACUGUAAUACAAAAGAUGAAUCCUUGACCAAGAGCCAAACCAUUGAGCAUAUUGUUAAAUUAGUGGAACAAGGCAAUGAUACCUGGUAUAUUCUUCCCCAGGAGCAAUAUCUUCCAAAAUAAGUCUUAUCUCAGAUUAAUGGGCCCUGACGCCUUGAAAUAUGAGAUAUUUUGGACUGGGUGCAGUGGCUCACACCUGUAAUCCCAGCACUUUGGGAGGCUGAGGCGGGCAGAUCACUUGAGCCUAGGAGUUUGAGACCAGCCUGGGAAACAUGGUGAAAUCCCAUCUUUACAAGAAAUGCAAAAAAUCAGUCGGGCAUGGUGGCACACACCUGUGGUCCCAGCCACUUGGGAGGCUGAGGUGGGAGGAUUGCUUGAGCCCCAGAGGCAGAGGUUGCAGUGAGCCGAGAUUGCACCACUGCACUCCAACCUGGGUGACAGAGGCGAGACCCCAUCUUAAAAAAACAAACAAAUAAACAAAACAGAAAAAAAUAAUAUUUUUGGGCAUCUGGUUUGAUGGUAGAUUUUUAUGUCUUCAUUUUCUUCUGAAUACUGCCCAAACAGUAGAUUUGUACUUGGAAGAAAAAGACCUGCUUAAGGGGUGGUUUUAGUCUUCUUUGGCUAGCAAAUAUAGCAACAAGAAAAACCUCACUUUAUAAGACAGAGGUUGUUCAUGGACUUACCCUUGGAGCAAAGGGAGAACAGAUAUUCUAGACACGCAGGAAUGUUGCUAAGCCUGAUGUCUUCAGCGGAGGACAAGAUCAAAGCAAAGAGCAUCUCCAUAGUGUUGAUGUCCUUUGCAGGUAGCUGAGUCCAAUGUCUUCACUGAAGUGAAAAUUGGUUCAAUUAUAUGCUGCCACAGAUGAGAUUGGCAAGACCAAAUUUAGGAAUACACCCUGCUUAUUUUUGUUGUUGUUGUUGGGGCAGGGUUCUAAUCCAGAAAGAGAUUUCCUCCCUGCUAAGGAUAGAGGCUAGGUAUAUCAUAGAUCAGUAUACACUAAACACAACUGUAGGAUUUUGCAAAUACUGAGUCAGGUAAACAAUGUGAUCUUAGAAGAGCUGUUAGCUAUUACGAACAUUUUAUAGCACAGAAUACUCUAACUUUUAUUUCAGUAUAAUCAAAGAUAGAUUUCAUUGUGAAAAUGAACAUGAUCUCAAAUGACUCGUCAGACUUCAUUAGCCAAAACUUUGGAGGCAAUACUUCAUUCUUUUGCUUUUGUUCUUCCUCACAUGGCUAAAUAUGUAUUCCAGCACAUACUUUACUUUUAAAAACAAAAGAAUGGCUAAAGAACCAAAGAAAUGCUACAAAGUGAAGAGACAUCCAGUACCUCUCUGUUGAAUGAAUUAAUGAUGGCUUCCUGGACAACUUUACUCCUCCAAGAACCAUAAGAGGUACCUGCGGAUGUAACUGAGCUUAAAGGGAUAUUCUUAAUUAAUUUAGGAGGUGGUAGUAUUUUUGAAUAGUGUUAAUAUAAAGUAAUUGUCAUUCCAGCUACCAAAGAAAAAUGCCCUUCUUGUUAUAAAUGUACAGCUUAGUCUGCCAAAACGCCUUAUCCAGAAGUUGCUGGUCAAAAGU